rnacentral:rRNA from 1 species
AGUGAACGCUGGCGGUAGGCCUAACACAUGCCAGUCGAACGGCAGCACAGUAAGAGCUUGCUCUUACGGGUGGCGAGUGGCGGACGGGUGAGGAAUACAUCGGAAUCUACUUUUUCGUGGGGGAUAACGUAGGGAAACUUACGCUAAUACCGCAUACGACCUACGGGUGAAAGCAGGGGAUCUUCGGACCUUGCGCGAUUGAAUGAGCCGAUGUCGGAUUAGCUAGUUGGCGGGGUAAAGGCCCACCAAGGCGACGAUCCGUAGCUGGUCUGAGAGGAUGAUCAGCCACACUGGAACUGAGACACGGUCCAGACUCCUACGGGAGGCAGCAGUGGGGAAUAUUGGACAAUGGGCGCAAGCCUGAUCCAGCCAUACCGCGUGGGUGAAGAAGGCCUUCGGGUUGUAAAGCCCUUUUGUUGGGAGAGAAAAGCAGCAGGUUAAUACCCCGCUGUUCUGACGGUACCCAAAGAAUAAGCACCGGCUAACUUCGU